rnacentral:tRNA from 1 species
UCCGUGAUAGCUCAGUUGGUAGAGCAGGUGGCUGUUAACCACCUUGUCGUAGGUUCAAGUCCUACUCACGGAGCCA